rnacentral:lncRNA from 1 species
ACAACAGGAAGAUAGCUGAGGGCUUCUAGGAAAGAAAUUUGCUUUCUCUUAAGAGACAAUUACUGGAGGAGAUAGUGUCUGUCUGUCUCCUGACUCCUGUGCAUAUAAGGCCUGGAACUGCUCAGCUAUUCCUCUACUGCUCGACAUGUGGUGGAGCAGAGAGCUCAGAUAUACAGAAAGGGAGCAGGCCCAGACUGAGCUGUGUCUGUCCCCCUGGGCCCGGUGAUGUCAGCCACUCAACUCCUGGAUUGUCUGAGCAUUUAGAGUGAGGCUGUCUGUGACUUGUAGCCCAAGAACCUCAGCUGAUAAUCCCAUUCUGCAGCGCUGGAGGAGAGGCCCCAGGGGAGGCAGAAGAUGCCCACCUGCAGAUGCGUGGAAACAUAUGGGAUCAGCAUCCGCAGCGCUCCUGCUGGUGCACUAAACAGGGGCAUUAACCUAAUGCUGCCAUGGAGGACUUUUGUCUUUUCUCUGGCAGAAGGAGCAGCUCACAUCCAGAGCCAACAAGUUGGAGAAAUGGCUUCUCUUGGCGAUUAGGCCUAAUGGUGGAAUUGUUAGACCGCUACAGCUGCAGGGGGCUUUCCUCUCUCAUCCCGGCUCUCCUCCGUUUGCUGUCCUGGAAACAUUUACUGAUUAUUAAAGAAUCACGUGGGUUUGAUUUUUCUCCAAAUAAAAGACCAAGGGUUAUCAGCCACGUCCUCAGUGUGUGACAGCCCCCUGGGAAGGUUCUGAACAGGAUGAAUUGUCUAAACUGCCUGAAGAUCUGAAGUGGGAGAGGUGGAUUACCUGGUGUCCUCGCCUUGCCCUCUUGGCACUUCCUUGCUCUCUAAGCUCCAUGCAAUUGGUCCCAUCCUUAUUCUCAGCCAAGACCCCUACUUCCAGCACAAGUCCUAUCCUACAGGUAGGAUUCAGUGUCCCGGCUGAGAUGGGGACAAACCUCAUCCCAAAGUCAUGCAAAGAGGGGAGGGUUUAAUCCCCAGCAGUGUAGAGAGGAUCUGCUGCAUGGCA